AUUGAACGCUGGCGGCAGGCCUAACACAUGCAAGUCGAACGAGUGGCGGACGGGUGAGCAAGGUCUGGGAAAGUGCCUGGUGGAGGGGGAUAACUACUGGGAACGGUAGCUAAUACCGCAUAGCAUCGGAUGGGCCGAGAUGGGAUUAGCUAGUGGGUGGGGUAAAGGCUCACCUAGGUGACGAUCCGUAGCUGGUCUGAGAGGAUGACCAGCCACACUGGAACUGAGACACGGUCCAGACUCCUACGGGAGGCAGCAGUGGGGAAUAUUGCACAAUGGGCGCAAGCCUGAUGCAGCCAUGCCGCGUGUAUGAAGAAGGCCUUCGGGUUGUAAAGUACUUUCAGCGGGGAGGCGUUACCCGCAGAAGAAGCACCGGCUAACUCCGUGCCAGCAGCCGCGGUAAUUC
rnacentral:rRNA from 1 species